rnacentral:rRNA from 1 species
UCAAGCGACUAAGUGCAUGUGGUGGAUGCCUUGGCGAUUACAGGCGAUGAAGGACGUUGUAGCGUGCGAAAAGCUUCGGGGAGCCCGCAAACAGGCUUUGAUCCGGAGAUGUCCGAAUGGGGAAACCCACUCCGCAAGGAGUAUCCCUGACUGAAUUCAUAGGUCAGAGGAGGCGAACUGAGCGAACUGAAACAUCUAAGUAGCUCAAGGAACAGAAAUCAACCGAGAUUCCCUAAGUAGUGGCGAGCGAACGGGGACCAGCCUGCAAGAGAUAACUACCGCGUUAGUGGAAUGGUCUGGAAAGGCCAGCCGUAGUGGGUGAUAGCCCCGUACGCAAAAACCCGGUAGCGAGACUAAGCUUGCGACAAGUAGGGCGGGGCACGUGAAACCCUGUCUGAACAUGGGGGGACCAUCCUCCAAGGCUAAAUACUCGUAAUCGACCGAUAGUGAACCAGUACCGUGAGGGAAAGGCGAAAAGAACCCCGGGAGGGGAGUGAAAUAGAUCCUGAAACCGUAUGCAUACAAACAGUGGGAGCCCCUACUUCAAGCGUCUUUGAGAUUCUUUCGAGGAGUGUCGCGUAGCGAUGCGACUCAAAAGAUAUUAGAGAGUCCGAAAGGAUGUUUGAAGUAGGGGUGACUGCGUACCUUUUGUAUAAUGGGUCAGCGACUUACAUUCAGUAGCAAGCUUAACCGAUAGGGGAGGCGUAGCGAAAGCGAGUCCGAAUAGGGCGUUCAGUUGCUGGGUGUAGACCCGAAACCAAGUGAUCUAUCCAUGGCCAGGAUGAAGGUGCCGUAACAGGUACUGGAGGUCCGAACCCACUAAUGUUGAAAAAUUAGGGGAUGAGCUGUGGAUAGGGGUGAAAGGCUAAACAAACUUGGAAAUAGCUGGUUCUCUCCGAAAACUAUUUAGGUAGUGCCUCGUAUAUCACUCCUGGGGGUAGAGCACUGUUAUGGCUAGGGGGUUCAUAAGAACUUACCAAACCAUUGCAAACUCCGAAUACCGGGAAGUGCAAUUACGGGAGACAGACCAUGGGUGCUAACGUCCGUGGUCAAGAGGGAAACAACCCAGACCGCCAGCUAAGGUCCCUAAUGACGUGCUAAGUGGAAAACGAAGUGGGAAGGCACAGACAGCUAGGAGGUUGGCUUAGAAGCAGCCAUCCUUUAAAGAAAGCGUAAUAGCUCACUAGUCGAGUCGUCCUGCGCGGAAGAUGUAACGGGGCUAAGCACGUAACCGAAGCUGCGGAUGCGUACAUUCUUCGGAGUGUACGCAUGGUAGGAGAGCGUUCUGUAGGCCUGCGAAGGUGUGCUGUGAGGCAUGCUGGAGGUAUCAGAAGUGCGAAUGCUGACAUGAGUAGCGAUAAAGGGGGUGAAAAGCCCCCUCGCCGAAAGCCCAAGGUUUCCUGCGCAACGUUCAUCGGCGCAGGGUGAGUCGGCCCCUAAGGUGAGGCAGAGAUGCGUAGCUGAUGGGAAACAGGUUAAUAUUCCUGUACCUCAAUGUAAUGCGAUGUGGGGACGGAGAAGGUUAGGUCAGCCAGGUGUUGGAUGUCCUGGUUUAAGCGUGUAGGUUGAUCUCUUAGGCAAAUCCGGGAGGUUAAGACUGAGGCGUGACGACGAGUCUACUUGUAGACGAAGUGAUUGAUACCAAGCUUCCAAGAAAAGCCACUAAGCUUCAGUUAUAUUGAGACCGUACCGCAAACCGACACAGGUGGGCAGGAUGAGAAUUCUAAGGCGCUUGAGAGAACCCGGGAGAAGGAACUCGGCAAAUUAGCACCGUAACUUCGGGAGAAGGUGCGCCCCGCUAGCGUGAACAGACUUGCUCUGGGAGCGCGAUGGGGUUGCAGUGAAAAGGUGGCUGCGACUGUUUAAUAAAAACACAGCACUGUGCAAACACGAAAGUGGACGUAUACGGUGUGACGCCUGCCCGGUGCCGGAAGGUUAAGUGAUGGGGUGCAAGCUCUUGAUCGAAGCCCCGGUAAACGGCGGCCGUAACUAUAACGGUCCUAAGGUAGCGAAAUUCCUUGUCGGGUAAGUUCCGACCCGCACGAAGGGCGUAACGAUGGCCACACUGUCUCCUCUCGGGACUCAGCGAAGUUGAAAUGUUUGUGAAGAUGCAAUCUACCCGCGGCUAGACGGAAAGACCCCAUGAACCUUUACUGUAGCUUUGCAUUGGACUUUGACAAGAUUUGUGUAGGAUAGGUGGGAGGCAUUGAAGCGGGGACGCCAGUUCUCGUGGAGCCAACCUUGAAAUACCACCCUGAUGUUGUUGAGGUUCUAACCUAGGUCCAUUAUCUGGAUCGGGGACCGUGCAUGGUGGGCAGUUUGACUGGGGCGGUCUCCUCCCAAAGAGUAACGGAGGAGUGCGAAGGUAACCUAGGUACGGUCGGAAAUCGUACUGAUAGUGCAAUGGCAUAAGGUUGCUUGACUGCGAGACGGACAGGUCGAGCAGGUGCGAAAGCAGGUCAUAGUGAUCCGGUGGUUCUGUAUGGAAGGGCCAUCGCUCAACGGAUAAAAGGUACUCUGGGGAUAACAGGCUGAUUCCUCCCAAGAGUUCAUAUCGACGGGGGAGUUUGGCACCUCGAUGUCGGCUCAUCACAUCCUGGGGCUGUAGCCGGUCCCAAGGGUAUGGCUGUUCGCCAUUUAAAGUGGUACGUGAGCUGG